CCUACGGGAGGCAGCAGUGGGGAAUCUUGCGCAAUGGGGAAACCCUGACGCAGCAACGCCGCGUGGGUGAUGAAGGCCUUCGGGUCGUAAAGCCCUGUCAGGUGAGAAGAAACUUGUGGAUGUUAAUACCAUCCGCACUUGACGGUACCACCGGAGGAAGCACCGGCUAACUCCGUGCCAGCAGCCGCGGUAAUACGGAGGGUGCAAGCGUUGUUCGGAAUUACUGGGCGUAAAGCGCGUGUAGGCGGUUGGGCAAGUCAGAUGUGAAAGCCUUCUGCUUAACAGAAGAAGUGCAUUUGAAACUACCCGGCUAGAGUACGGGAGAGGAGAGUGGAAUUCCCGGUGUAGAGGUGAAAUUCGUAGAUAUCGGGAGGAACACCAGUGGCGAAGGCGGCUCUCUGGUCCGAUACUGACGCUGAGACGCGAAAGCGUGGGGAGCAAACAGGAUUAGAUACCCUGGUAGUCCACGCCCUAAACGAUGGGCACUAGGUGUAGGAGGUAUUGACCCCUUCUGUGCCGAAGCUAACGCAUUAAGUGCCCCGCCUGGGGAGUACGGCCGCAAGGCUAAAACUCAAAGGAAUUGACGG
rnacentral:rRNA from 1 species